UACGGGGGGAGCAAGCGUUGUUCGGAUUUACUGGGCGUAAAGGGCGCGUAGGCGGUCAGCACAAGUCAGUUGUGAAAUCUCCGGGCUUAACUCGGAAAGGUCAACUGAUACUGUGCGACUAGAGUGCAGAAGGGGCAACUGGAAUUCUCGGUGUAGCGGUGAAAUGCGUAGAUAUUGGGAAGAACACCGGUGGCGAAGGCGGCUCACUGGCUCGUAACUGACGCUCAUGCACGACAGCGUGGGGAUCAAACAGG
rnacentral:rRNA from 1 species